rnacentral:rRNA from 1 species
UACGUAGGGUGCAAGCGUUGUCCGGAAUUAUUGGGCGUAAAGAGCUCGUAGGCGGCUUGUCGCGUCAACUGUGAAAACCCGUGGCUCAACCAUGUGGUCUGCAGUCGAUACGGGCAGGCUAGAAUUCGGUAGGGGAGACUGGAAUUCCUGGUGUAGCGGUGAAAUGCGCAGAUAUCAGGAGGAACACCGGUGGCGAAGGCGGGUCUCUGGGCCGAUAUUGACGCUGAGGAGCGAAAGCGUGGGUAGCAAACAGG